GACGAGUGGCGGACGGGUGAGUAAUGCUUGGGAACUUGCCUUUGCGAGGGGGAUAACAGUUGGAAACGACUGCUAAUACCGCAUAACGUCUACGGACCAAACGGGGCUUAGGCUCCGGCGCAGAGAGAGGCCCAAGUGAGAUUAGCUAGUUGGUGGGGUAAAGGCUCACCAAGGCGACGAUCUCUAGCUGUUCUGAGAGGAAGAUCAGCCACACUGGGACUGAGACACGGCCCAGACUCCUACGGGAGGCAGCAGUGGGGAAUAUUGCACAAUGGGGGGAACCCUGAUGCAGCCAUGCCGCGUGUGUGAAGAAGGCCUUCGGGUUGUAAAGCACUUUCAGUUGUGAGGAAAAGUGAGUGGUUAAUACCUGCUCACCGUGACGUUAGCAACAGAAGAAGCACCGGCUAACUCCGUGCCAGCAGCCGCGGUAAUACGGAGGGUGCGAGCGUUAAUCGGAAUUACUGGGCGUAAAGCGCACGCAGGCGGUUUGUUAAGCUAGAUGUGAAAGCCCCGGGCUCAACCUGGGACGGUCAUUUAGAACUG
rnacentral:rRNA from 1 species